GUUUCUGUGGUGUAAUUGAACACGAUACAUUUUCGCUGUAUAGUUAAAAAAAUUUUUUUAGAAGCU
rnacentral:tRNA from 1 species